AAAGUCCUGCGGGGCCCGGCGUCACCGGCUGUGAUGCGCCGCCGGGCGCCUGUUUCUGUCCUGGCUUAGCCACCUGGGCUUUAGGCUGGAAGAGAAGCGCAGCGUCAGUGGGCUCGGAAAAGCUGGAUUUGCAGUCACCCACCAGUUAGGAUCCCAGACCGGGGACUCAUGACUCAGAACCGCAGGGUGCCAGCCUGCUGAAUGGGGCUGGCACCACCGUACCGGAGCGCUGUGCUGUGGCUUAGUCUCCAUCCAAAUUAUAGUCUCCAUCCAAACCUGCCAUCUCAGUAAGUAAACUGAGGCCUACAGAUGGGCAAUAUCUUUCCCCAGGACACAGUCAUUCCUUUAGUAAAUAAUAUUUGAGCACCUGCUGUGGACUGGGGAACCACUUUCUGCUGGUGGCAAGGCCAGGAGCACCCUGGUGUCCCUACCAGCCCCCGUUGCCAACACUUGGCUCGUGCCCUAGUAUGAAGGGACUGUGUCCUAUACGAAUCAGGCCUUUACCCAGAGUGUCCAACGUGUUUCCAGCCUCUGGUACCUCCAGAACCAUCCUUGUGAAUCCUCAGGUAACCCCCACCGUCCUUUACAGGACUCAGUCCACACCCCCACCACCUCUCCCCUCUCUAGAAUAGAUCUUCCCAUGUGGUUUGUCUCCACCUUCCCCAGAAAUAUUCUUCCUGCGCUCCUUCCUUCCCUUCCCUGUCCCCUAUAUGAAUCCAAAUCUUUCUUUCUCUCAAGAUCCUGCUUCAACCCUGCGUUUUUCCAGGAGGAGGAGCCUGGCCAGUUUUCUAAACUCAGGUAGCCCCUAAUGGAUAGGGAAAAGAGUCAGGUGACCUCACUCUGAAGAAAUGCUGCCCUGGGCCCAAGCAUCCUGACGGUGUGACCUGGCUAUUUCAGGACCUACCCCCAUUCUGACUCAGCUACCCCCACCAUCAGGAAAGCUGGGAAAUCAGAAGGCACAUAGAGAGAGUGCCCUGGAGGCUCAAAGGAUGGGCUGUAUCUAAGCAGCCAGGGCCUCUGCCCUGUUCCACCAACCAGUUCCUAGGCAGCCACGGUGCCAGUGGCCUUUGCAGAUGGAGAAGCUGAGGGUUGGCGGCUGAAAUCCACUCACAUAAGGUCAUACGGCAAGUUCUCUCUCUCUACGCGUCCUGAGGGAGCACCUAUCUAUGUGGUUUACUGUCACAUCUGCGGUAUCUAGCCCAGUACCUGGCAUCAUGGGGGAACUUGGUGCUCACUUGGCUCUUGUGGAUGGAGAUUGCCCAGGCCAGCUGGAGGGGCAGCUGCUGCCGGCUGAGGAGCUGGCCCCCGGUGGCCUGCACCGUCCAGCGGUCAGCGCGGAUGACCUCAGUGACUCCACACAGGAACCGCACCUGCGGCAGCCCUGAGGAAGCAUGGAGAAGGCCAACCUUUCAGCCCUGCUGAGCUCAGAGUGCUGCUGAGGAAGUUGGAUAUGACAAGUGAGCACAGGCCAGAGGUUUGCAGGACCUGGACAUGGGGCUGAUGUGGACUCCCUGCAAUACUGGGUACCCUGCGAUCAGAUCAGCCUCGAGGGUAAAAUCUUCUAGCCACUUGCCUGCUGCCUUGGGUAAAAAAUCCAGCCUAUACUUCUAUUCUCUCCAAUUUCAGGCUUUCUUCCACCUGGAAGACCGGGCAUAGCAGCGACUCAAGCGGGACAAGGGGAAUAGCAUGGAACCAUCUCUACCUGCUCUGCCCCUCAGCCUUCUUCUUGUCCCCUAUGAGUGCUGGUGUGUGCUGUACCUCUUUCUGUCUGCCUCCUGUGUCUCUGCCAGGGGACCCCAGGCAUAGAAAGCCCCUCACAGCCACUCUACCGCACUCAUCCCAUCCCAAUCUGACCUGUCAUAUGCUCUGGCCCAUGUCUUAUGCCCUCCUGGCCUACUUUCUACUCCCACGGUAGAGUAGCUGUGGCAUUUCAACCUUUUGUCCUAGCUGGGGAGAGAACAUGUCUGCAACCUCCCCUCUCCCACCAAGUUGCCCCCUGGGCUCUAAGAGUAGAAAGCCCUGGGGUGUUAAAGUCAGACCACUUACUGCCAUGACUUUGGGUAAGUAAACAUCUCUGAAUGCCUUCUGUGUGUCCAUCUGUCUGUCCAUCUUUCCUUCCCUGACACCCACUUUGUGCCAGUCCCUGUGCUGGGUGACAGGGACCCAACCCUGAGGGAGGCUGGGUCCCAGUGCUCACAGAGUGGCUUUCUCCUACAGGGCCAUGAAGUUCUCGACUACAAUCUGCCCUAGGUUGCCCAGUGUCUCGGACAAGGCUUCUCUUCCUGUACAGACUGCUUGUUCUCGAGGACAAGCAUCUCUCCCCCUUCCCUGGGUCCCUGUGUUCCACUCUGACCCACGCCUGGAUCCUCAUCCUGUGGCCCCUUCUUCAUCCACCAGGGCCCACCUGCCCAGCCUCACAGCCUGCAGCAGAGAGAUGAAGAGAGGAGCAUGGGGUGCUUUAGGCGCUAAGGUGGGCGGCUUCCACACAGGAAGAGCAGCCAGCCCCCACCAUACACACUGACCUGGCCACGGCCUCCAGCUUGUCAAACAGGUCCGCCUCCACCAUCGAGAUCUCGUCAAUGACCAGCCGCUGGCAGUUGAGCCAGCCCUGCCGCACGCCUGGCCUUUGGGCCAGGGCCACACACUGGGCCAGGGGAGCCUGCCCUGAGCCGAUGCCUGCCUGGCUUGCUCUAAGUUCAAGUCCUAGGGCCCCCACUUACCUGCAAAGGCAUGGAGGGUGGUGCCCCCGAUGUGGCAUGCUGCCACCCCCGUGCUGGCAGUAGCCACAGUGCCUGUAGGGGGCAGUG